GGCUUUGCAAGGCACAGCUAGCUGGUUGGUCACUACCACCAGCCAGAGCCUAUCUAAUACUGGGCAUGUCUGUUUAUAUCUGACUCCCUCAGAAAGCAGGCCCAGUAUCUUACUCAUCUUUGUAAGUCACCAGCCAAUCCAGUGCCCGCACACAGUGGGUGUCCAACCAAUUCGUUGAAUCAAUACUUCCGUUCCAACCCCUCUCACCCAUAUUAUUGGGCCUUUACCUUGUUAGGGUGCUUUUUUGGAGGGUCUACUUUUAAAGUUGUCUUUGAUCUUCACCUGGGUGGGAAUUGGGGGGUGCAACAAGAAGACCGUACAAAUAUAAUUUCUCCUAGGGUCUCUGCAUGUCUAGGCAAUGCCUGCCUGAAAACUGCCUUCUUAUGGAGAGGCUCAGUCCUUGGCCAGAUGGAGCUCUCGUCCAGCGAGUGAACCCCAAUCAUCAAUAACAGCUGUGGGCCCCAGGAGCUCCCUGCAAAAGCAGAAAUACCAGCUGAUAUGAGAAACUUCCCACUGACCGCCGUGAAAGCAAGAAAAACGAAACUGGAGUGUGAAGAUGGAGAAACUGCUCUGCGACAGGCCACGACAGCAUCUGGAACCUUCUGUGAUCAGCUGCCAGUAUCCUUUAAUGAGAACUCGUGUGUUCCUUGAUAUCUCUCUGGGAGCAUCUCAAGAGAAAGGAGAUGUUCGCCAAGAUGGGAUUUUCCCAAAAGAAUUCUUUAGAAAAAGUGCCAGAACUUUUACCUUCCACCUUGACAGUCCCCAGAGACAAACUGAAAGGACCUCGCUUAAAUGCCUCAUCCGAAGGGUAUUUGCAAUGCUGGCUUCAUCAUUCAAAGCAGGAAAGGCCUUUGUCAUGGUCAAAUGGCUUUAAUGUGUUCUGAAUGCUACAUAAAUUCAAAGUUGAUGGCUCAUUUAUUUGUUGGAUUGAAGUUUUAUACAAUAAACUAAGCCUUGGUAUUUACUAAUAACUUGUGCACUGCCCUUUGUUUGUUUAGAACAGCCAGAAGGCAAAGAAGUUGACCGAGUCCCUCAUG